rnacentral:rRNA from 1 species
UUGGAGGGCAAGUCUGGUGCCAGCAGCCGCGGUAAUUCCAGCUCCAAUAGCGUAUAUUAAAGUUGUUGCAGUUAAAAAGCUCGUAGUUGAAUUUCGGGAUUCAUCCGUUGGUCGGGCUUCACGGUCCGCACUGGUGUGAUGGGUUCCUACCUUCUGAAUAACCGGCAUGCCAUUAAUUUGGUGCGCCGGGGAAGCAGAACUAUUACCUUGAAAAAAUUAGAGUGCUUAAAGCAGGCAAGUGCCUGAAUAGGUUAGCAUGGAAUAAUAAAAUAGGACGGCAUGGUUCUAUUUUGUUGGUUUCUAGGAUCACCGUAAUGAUUAAUAGGGAUAGUUGGGGGCAUUAGUAUUCAAUUGUCAGAGGUGAAAUUCUUGGAUUUAUUGAAGACUAACUUCUGCGAAAGCAUUUGCCAAGGAUGUUUUCAUUAAUCAAGAACGAAAGUUAGGGGAUCGAAGACGAUCAGAUACCGUCGUAGUCUUAACCAUAAACUGUGCCGACUAGGGAUCGGACGAUGUUAAUUUUUUAAUGACUCGUUCGGCGCCUUACGGGAAAC